rnacentral:rRNA from 1 species
AUACGGAGGAUGCGAGCGUUAUCCGGAUUUAUUGGGUUUAAAGGGAGCGUGGGUGGGAUAUUAAGUCAGCUGUGAAAGUUUGGGGCUCGACCUUAAAAUUGCAGUUGAUACUGGUUUCCUUGAGUACGGUAUAGGUGGGCGGAAUUCGUGGUGUAGCGGUGAAAUGCUUAGAUAUCACGAAGAACUCCGAUCGCGAAGGCAGCUCACCGGGCCGGAACUGACACUGAUGCUCGAAAGUGCGGGUAUCAAACAGGAUUAGAUACCCUGGUAGUCCGCACAGUAAACGAUGAAUACUCGCUGUUUGCGAUACACUGUAAGCGGCCAAGCGAAAGCGUUAAGUAUUCCACCUGGGGAGUACGCCGGCAACGGUGAAACUCAAAGGAAUUGACGGGG